rnacentral:lncRNA from 11 species
GGAGUAAAAGAAAUCCUGAAGGACAUGGCAGUGGGGCGGACUGAAAGGAUCCUUGUGCGAUCGUCUCUUGGUGGUCAUAAGGCAAUUGGAGCUCGGAAAUACAGAAGAACUCACUUUCUCACCCUAAUGACUGGGAGGCCCAGCGGAACUUCACAGCCUGGCAAUUUAUCAAACAAAAUGAGCAAACAUUAAAAAAGGUACUUUGUUAAUUUAUUUUGACAUUUGAGGAGAGAUAUUCAAAGGCAUUGGACACC